CUAGACUCCUACGGGAGGCAGCAGUGGGGGAUAUUGGACAAUGGGGGAAACCCUGAUCCAGCGACGCCGCGUGAGUGAAGAAGUAUUUCGGUAUGUAAAGCUCUGUCAGCAGGGAAGAAAGAAAUGACGGUACCUGACCAAGAAGCCCCGGCUAACUACGUGCCAGCAGCCGCGGUAAUACGUAGGGGGCAAGCGUUAUCCGGAAUUACUGGGUGUAAAGGGAGCGUAGACGGUGAUGCAAGUCUGGAGUGAAAGCCCGUGGCUCAACCACGGGACUGCUUUGGAAACUGUGUUGCUGGAGUGCAGGAGGGGUAAGCGGAAUUCCUAGUGUAGCGGUGAAAUGCGUAGAUAUUAGGAGGAACACCGGUGGCGAAGGCGGCUUACUGGACUGUAACUGACGUUGAGGCUCGAAGGCGUGGGGAGCAAACAGGAUUAGAUACCCGAGUAU
rnacentral:rRNA from 1 species